UGAAGCAAUAGUGCUUUCUAGACAGUGUGUUUGGAAUCUUCUACCAUCCUUGUGAGUUCUAGCUCCAUUCAUGAUGCUGACUUAUGAGGAUAUAAUGAUGUAACCUAAGGAAUGAUUGUCAACAAAAAGACCAUUUCAUACAAUUGAGGUUGAGAGAGAAAGAAAAUAGAGAGAAGAAGCAGAAAUGAAGUGAUCUUCAAUUGCCAACAUCCAAAUUAUAAGAUAAAUACAAGGGAAGGAAAAGAGCAACUUUUAUUUGCUUAGAAAUACCUUCCUAACUUUGAGAGGAUGACAGUGAUGUCUAUAGAAUUGAUGGCAAUAAUUUUACACAGGUUUCCAAAUGAUACUUCCGGAAUUCAAGGGAAUUUAUGAAGUGAUUUCUUAUGGUCUACAUUAGCCCCAUCACUCCACAAAUACAAUUUAAUCAAGGACCCUAAGAAAUGUGUCUAUCACCAGUUUGGUAAAAUAAACAGCACAUUUAGAGUUCAA